rnacentral:rRNA from 1 species
UAGGUUUCGAGAAGCGAACCCGGUGAACUGAAACAUCUCAGUAGCCGGAGGAAAAGACAUCAACCGAGAUUCCGUUAGUAGUGGCGAGCGAACGCGGACCAGGCCAGUGCUUCAUUUUCAACUAGCAGAACGAUCUGGAAAGUUCGGCCAUAGCGGGUGACAGCCCCGUAUGCGAAAGUGAUGAAUGAAGACUCGAGUAGGGCGGGACACGUGUAAUCCUGUCUGAACAUGGGGGGACCACCCUCCAAGCCUAAAUACUCGUACAUGACCGAUAGCGAACUAGUACCGUGAGG